UACGUAGGGUGCAAGCGUUAAUCGGAAUUACUGGGCGUAAAGCGUGCGCAGGCGGUUUUGUAAGUCUGACGUGAAAUCCCCGGGCUUAACCUGGGAAUUGCGUUGGAGACUGCAAGGCUGGAGUCUGGCAGAGGGGGGUAGAAUUCCACGUGUAGCAGUGAAAUGCGUAGAGAUGUGGAGGAACACCGAUGGCGAAGGCAGCCCCCUGGGUCAAGACUGACGCUCAUGCACGAAAGGCGUGGGGAGCAAACAGGAU
rnacentral:rRNA from 1 species